UACGAAGGGGGCUAGCGUUGCUCGGAUUGACUGGGCGUAAAGGGCGCGUAGGCGGUUCGUACAGUCAGACGUGAAAUCCCCGGGCUCAACCCGGGAACUGCGUCCGAUACUGGAAGGCUUGAAUCCGGGAGAGGGAUGCGGAAUUCCAGGUGUAGCGGUGAAAUGCGUAGAUAUCUGGAGGAACACCGGUGGCGAAGGCGGCAUCCUGGACCGGCAUUGACGCUGAGGCGCGAAAGCCAGGGGAGCAAACGGG
rnacentral:rRNA from 1 species